NNAGUGGUAGUUCAGUUGGUUAGAAUACCGGCCUGUCACGCCGGGGGUCGCGGGUUCGAGUCCCGUCCACUCCGCCA
rnacentral:tRNA from 1 species